CGAUAGAAUAACAGUAUCAACGGGAGGGGACGUAUCAAGGAGAUCUGCAAGGGAACGCGGAGCACCCAGGAGAGCCGCUGGAGAUAUCUUCAUACUUGACAUUUUCGACCAGUUUCCAGAGCAUGAUGGCGGGCUGUUCUCUAGGAGCUAUAGAGACUUUGGAAAUUGAGGCUUUAAUUGGCGAGUGGAGGGAUCUGAACAUUUUGCACGAGGAGGCAGCCCUCGCCACGCAAAUGAGCAGGUUUCCUUUUGAAAAAACCGCACUUUUAUAGGCAAGACUGAUUCGCAAAUUGCGCAAAUUUGAUAUCACGGGAAAAUAUUUAAACAAGUUAUUUGAGGCCUAAGAGUUCCCGCCUCAAGCCUAUGCCUUGGCAAGCGAGUCCACCCAAAUUGCAGACUUCUGCCUAAGGAAUGGUGUUUAGGGCUGGAGCAUAAGAGAGCUUUGUUUUAGGAUCGCGUGCACGUAACUUUUAACUGACUUGUCCAAGCAGGAACAUUCAGCAUUUUGGAAGAACUGCAGUCGAGGGGAGCUGCCUUCCGACGGCUUAUAGAGACCCUAAAACCCUUAUUAAUGGAAGGCUUGCAAGAGAAAGGCUGAAAACGAUCAUUCAGCAGAGUAACAGCGCCCUCUGUAGGACACUGAUAUUUUGCGGUCGCCGCGGCGAAACCGCUCUUCCCUUUAGUGAUAAUACAAGUAUAAUUAAAAUUAGUCUUUCAAUUUAUUAAAAAAGAAUGAGGACCUUUGUGAUGAAUAAGCAGUAAGCUAUAAAGAGUUGUCCCACGCAUCGCUUCAAAGAAAUUCCAAAGUGAAAAUAAAGUGAACAACUAUGGAGUCGUACAUCUUUUUUCUGCAAAUACUAUACAGAGAUUUAGGCUUCUUUUCAUUUCUGUGUUGAUUGUUACUAGCCUGAUGUAUAAAAGAAGGCUUUACUCAAAGCUGAUGGCAGGUCCACACACAGCCGUAAUACUCAUGGGGCCGGUGCAACUGCAGACAUCGUCCUCACCGUCGUCUGCUCCAUCAGCUUUAAAAAAAAUGAAACUUAAAAAAAUGAAAAUAAAUAAAUAUAUUGUUUCCAGUGGAACACUUUGUUCUUGCAAGGUCUCGUUGAGAUGUUGCAUACCCAUUCAGUUGUGUUGAGUUACUCAGUCUCGGUCUCUCUCACACACGCUUUGUGUGUGCGUGCAUGCGCGCGCUGCUAAAGCCAAAGUGUAUCUAUAUAACAAGGGAUGGCAGGUGUUGGAACUAGGCUGUCUUCUUGGCUUUUUUUCAACGAUUUAUUCCGGCGCCCUCUGCUGGUAGUCACAAAACACGUUAGCACCAUAAUGUAAAAACUUAGUGCAGGCAUCCCCAGCCUUCGGCCCUCCAGAUGUUUUGUACUACAAUUCCCAUCAUCCCUGACCACUGGUCCUGUUAGCUAGGGAUCAUGGGAGUUGUAGGCCUAAACAUCUGGAGGGCCGCAGGUUGGGGAUGCCUGACUUAGUGCCCCCCACUGUAAUUUUGUGUACGCCAUGAAUUUCUCUCUUUUCAUUUUAUUACAUUCAGAAUCAACAUCUGACAAAUCCUUUACAACUGAAUCCUAUUUAGCAACAUUCCCCAGAUGUUUUUAGUGAUUCUUAGAAAUACAUCAUCAUCAUUAUCAUCAUCUCACAGAUUGUACAUAUUUUGCAACCACAAUCUAACCCUUAGAGCAGUGGUUUUCAACCAGGGUGCCUUGACACCCUGGGAUGCCUUGAAUGAUGGUCAGGGCAACACUGGCACUGUCUGUCUUUCCUUCCCUCCCUCCUCUGAUGCCUUCUGGUGUCUCUGCCUCCCAAAGGCUUGCACAGCUGUUUACUGUGAAUGUUGCCUCUGGGAGGUACAUCUCUUUUGGGAGUGGGGGGGGCAGUUCAGAGACC